rnacentral:tRNA from 1 species
GGGCGGUUAGCUCAGCUGGAUAGAGCGCCUGCCUUACAAGCAGGAGGUCGGCGGUUCGAGCCCGUCACCGCCCA